UAAAUACUCAAUUUCACAAAAUUCUAAAUUGUAAUUGCAUUCAUUGGGCGUUUUCCAAAACGACAGUUGCUUUGUGUUCGAACAAAGUAUCACAUUCCUAAUCGCAGCUUUGAAAUCUUGGGCGCUGUAUCGUGUUCCUAAAAGUAUCGUUAAUUUUCUUGAUACGCAACAAAAAGGAACCAAAGUAUCACUAAGCUGAUGCAAUAUGUGGACAUGUACAAAGGAAAAAAUCCCGGAAAACGAAGAGAGCAAAUAAAAUGUUACAAAACGUCAACAUUGUCGCAAGGCAUAGCUUUCCAAAGUAUCAAUAUUUUACUGAUGCAAUGUAUACCUACAGUAUUUAUGUAUAUAGUAUUGAUGUGAUACUGUUACAUUGAAUACAUACAUAUGUUUUGGAAAACUCUCAUUCAAUCGAUUUGUCAGCUACAAUUUUAUCGGAAAUUCAUCAAGAUGUUUCGGGUUUUGGCAAAGACGUUAUUUCCGAAAUUAUUUAAACUGGCGCAAAUGUUUUUGGCUGUUCCAGCUACAUCCGUGCAAAGCGAGCGAGUUUCAAAGCCUGGGACAACAAUCAAUCUCUAAGAAAACUGUCUAAAUUGUUACUCCUAAUUUUUUUACAAAAUAAUAGACAAUAAA